rnacentral:misc_RNA from 1 species
CAGAGUUGCAAAACUCCCAACCAUUGUGAACCUACCUCACCGUUGCUUCGGCGGGUGGCCCCGGGCUAACCCGGAGCCGCGCUGGCUCCCCGCUCUCGGGGGCCCGGCAAACCCGUCAGAAGACCGAAACUCUUAGUUAUCAGUGGCCUCUCUGAGUAACUUAUACAAUAAGUCA